GCGUCUAUACAUGCAGUCGAGCGAAUGGAUUGAGAGCUUGCUCUCAAGAAGUUAGCGGCGGACGGGUGAGUAACACGUGGGUAACCUGCCCAUAAGACUGGGAUAACUCCGGGAAACCGGGGCUAAUACCGGAUAACAUUUUGAACUGCAUGGUUCGAAAUUGAAAGGCGGCUUCGGCUGUCACUUAUGGAUGGACCCGCGUCGCAUUAGCUAGUUGGUGAGGUAACGGCUCACCAAGGCAACGAUGCGUAGCCGACCUGAGAGGGUGAUCGGCCACACUGGGACUGAGACACGGCCCAGACUCCUACGGGAGGCAGCAGUAGGGAAUCUUCCGCAAUGGACGAAAGUCUGACGGAGCAACGCCGCGUGAGUGAUGAAGGCUUUCGGGUCGUAAAACUCU
rnacentral:rRNA from 1 species